CAUUCAUGAAAUCUAUGCAGCAGUAUGAACAUCUACGAGAGGCUUCCUUAACCUGUAGUGACAAGCAGCUACAGUCUUGUAUCGUACAUGGAGUUGGUUUCAUAAUGGUGGUCUUUGCUUAAAGGAUCGGAGUCUUGUUGAGGGGCUUUUCCUGAAGGGUGAUCUUCAAAUUCUAUGCACGACAAAUACUUUGGCACGGCAUCAACUUACCUUCACAUACAGUAGUGAUGAAGUCGGCACAAUUUUUGUGAGAACUUUUUUUAAUGUGAAAGCAUUUCUACCAACUUUUUUUAAUGUGAAAGCAUUUCUACCUACCCUCUGAUCUUUUUUAUGAUAUUUUCUGAUUUUUAUACAUUUCGUAGCAACAAAGAGAAGGGAUCUUAUGUAGAAUAUGAGAGAUCCAUGGUUCUUCA